GGAUUCGAACCAACACUGGACCGCCUGCAGCGGAGCAUGCGACUUAACCACUUGGCCACGGGGCCAGCCCCAUCAUGUUAUUUUUUGUCCUCCACAGUCUUGAGCCCAGGAGAGUACAGCGUACUGGGAAAAGGAAAUCCUCUUCUGCCUACACCUAAAAAUUCAUAAGGUAAGUGUAUGACAUUGAAGGAUUGAAAGACCAUGGGGCAGCAGAAAAGGAAACCAUUUUCCCUCCUGAAGUAAUCCUAGAUCCUGACUUGAACAAACUGAUUGCUAAUGACAAUAGGGAGAUUUGAACAUUGACUGGAUAUUUGAUGGUAGGGAGUUAUUAUCUUUUCAGGUGGGGUAAUAAUAUUGUGGUCAUAUUUAAAAGAAAAAGUACUUACCUUUUAGAAAUAUUUACUGAAGUACAUAUGGAUGACGUAAUGUAAUAUCUGGGAUCUCUUGGGGAGAGGAAGAAGUGGUCAGGAGUAUGGAUAUGAAUGGCCGUGUAUUAGUAAUUGUCGUAGCUGGCUGAUGGGUACAGGAG